GAGGAAAUUUGAUGCGCAUCUCUUCACAAACUCAUUGAUAUAAUAAAUGGCCGUUUCCAUGAAAAUUGUAUGCAGCUGACAUGGCGAGCAGUGAAAGUUUAAUCACUCACAAUGAAAUCUUUUCAGACCUAGCGGACAGAACGGUUGCCUUGGCUGGAAGAUCAAGAGAUGCACUGUGGUUCUCAAGCUUUCCCAAAAUAGAAGGCAUCGUAUAUCCUGGUUUAAGGCUCCCAUACAAUCUUUUGGUCAAGAUUACUUCUGCAAUCUGAAUCCAGUUUUUUUUCCCCCUCUCCUUCCAACCCACAUCGUUCACAUAUGCCUGCCUUCCCUUUAAAAUGCUCACUGGAAGUCUUGCUCCUUAUGUUCUCAUCACUGAUUCUCAAAUCCUGUCAACCCGUAUUUUAGGCAGCCGAUUAAAAACACUGUUAUUCUUUGAAGCUU